rnacentral:rRNA from 1 species
AACGAACGCUGGCGGCAUGCCUAACACAUGCAAGUCGAACGAGACCUUCGGGUCUAGUGGCGCACGGGUGCGUAACGCGUGGGAACCUGCCCUUAGGUUCGGAAUAACUCCCCGAAAGGGGUGCUAAUACCGGAUAAUGUCUUCGGACCAAAGAUUUAUCGCCUUUGGAUGGGCCCGCGUUGGAUUAGCUAGUUGGUAGGGUAAAAGCCUACCAAGGCGACGAUCCAUAGCUGGUCUGAGAGGAGGAUCAGCCACACUGGGACUGAGACACGGCCCAGACUCCUACGGGAGGCAGCAGUGGGGAAUAUUGGACAAUGGGCGAAAGCCUGAGCCAGCAAUGCCGCGUGAGUGAUGAAGGACUUAGGGUUGUAAAGCUCUUUUACCCGGGAUGAUAAUGACAGUACCGGGAGAAUAAGCUCCGGCUAACUCCGUG